rnacentral:rRNA from 1 species
AGCUUAUCGAUACCGUCUGAACGCUAGCUACAGGCUUAACACAUGCAAGUCGAGGGGAAACGACAUCGAAAGCUUGCUUUUGAUGGGCGUCGACCGGCGCACGGGUGAGUAACGCGUAUCCAACCUGCCCACCACUUGGGGAUAACCUUGCGAAAGUAAGACUAAUACCCAAUGAUAUCUCUAGAAGACAUCUGAAAGAGAUUAAAGAUUUAUCGGUGAUGGAUGGGGAUGCGUCUGAUUAGCUUGUUGGCGGGGUAACGGCCCACCAAGGCAACGAUCAGUAGGGGUUCUGAGAGGAAGGUCCCCCACAUUGGAACUGAGACACGGUCCAAACUCCUACGGGAGGCAGCAGUGAGGAAUAUUGGUCAAUGGACGAGAGUCUGAACCAGCCAAGUAGCGUGCAGGAAGACGGCCCUAUGGGUUGUAAACUGCUUUUAUAAGGGAAUAAAGUGAGUCUCGUGAGACUUUUUGCAUGUACCUUAUGAAUAAGGACCGGCUAAUUCCGUGCCAGCAGCCGCGGUAAUACGGAAGGUCCGGGCGUUAUCCGGAUUUAUUGGGUUUAAAGGGAGCGUAGGCCGGAGAUUAAGCGUGUUGUGAAAUGUAGACGCUCAACGUCUGCACUGCAGCGCGAACUGGUUUCCUUGAGUACGCACAAAGUGGGCGGAAUUCGUGGUGUAGCGGUGAAAUGCUUAGAUAUCACGAAGAACUCCGAUUGCGAAGGCAGCUCACUGGAGCGCAACUGACGCUGAAGCUCGAAAGUGCGGGUAUCGAACAGGAUUAGAUACCCUGGUAGUCCGCACGGUAAACGAUGGAUGCCCGCUGUUGGUCUGAAUAGGUCAGCGGCCAAGCGAAAGCAUUAAGCAUCCCACCUGGGGAGUACGCCGGCAACGGUGAAACUCAAAGGAAUUGACGGGGGCCCGCACAAGCGGAGGAACAUGUGGUUUAAUUCGAUGAUACGCGAGGAACCUUACCCGGGCUUGAAUUGCAGAGGAAGGAUUUGGAGACAAUGACGCCCUUCGGGGCCUCUGUGAAGGUGCUGCAUGGUUGUCGUCACUCACCC